AUCGUUCAUCCCAAAAGGACGGAAGUAGGCAAUGCCGAAGGAACGCACC
rnacentral:ncRNA from 10 species